rnacentral:misc_RNA from 1 species
UCCAUAAAUAGUCCUUUAAAUCGGCUCGAAAAUUUUGAAUUCAUUCCACGGCAGUUGUCGCCAGCGGCUGACAGGGUCUUGCAGAUAAUGGGUGGCUUCCUGUAAAUCCCGUCCGGCAAGCGCUGUUGGCGUGUCACGUAGCGUGAGCCAUACCCGGCGAGCGCGAACGUAGGCGGUGGCGUAAUCCUCCCAGGAAUCAAAACAGUCCUGAGCGCGCUGGGCGUUGAGCAAUAGCACCAGCCAGGCCUCGUUUUCGUUACACCAGCCGAGCCCGGCGAUACAGCGGGUCAGAAAGGCGGUGCGCAUAC